rnacentral:tRNA from 2 species
GGGGGUUUAGUUUAAUGGUAGAAUAAUGGUCUCCAAAACCAUUGAUGGGGGUUCGAUUCCCUCAACCCCUGCCA